CAGCCGCCGCGGUAAAACGGAGGGUACAAGCGUUAAUCGGAAUUACUGGGCGUAAAGCGCACGCAGGCGGUUUGUUAAGUCAGAUGUGAAAUCCCCGAGCUUAACUUGGGAACUGCAUUUGAAACUGGCAAGCUAGAGUCUUGUAGAGGGGGGUAGAAUUCCAGGUGUAGCGGUGAAAUGCGUAGAGAUCUGGAGGAAUACCGGUGGCGAAGGCGGCCCCCUGGACAAAGACUGACGCUCAGGUGCGAAAGCGUGGGGAGCAAACAGGAUUAGAUACCCGCGUAGUCCCUGUCUCUUAUAC
rnacentral:rRNA from 1 species